CCUACGGGCGGCUGCAGUGAGGAAUAUUGCACAAUGGGGGAAACCCUGAUGCAGCAACGCCGCGUGGGCGAAGAAGGCCUUCGGGUUGUAAAGCCCUUUUUUGUGGGAUGAGCAAGGACAGUACCACAAGAAUAAGUCUCGGCUAACUACGUGCCAGCAGCCGCGGUAAAACGUAGGAGGCGAGCGUUAUCCGGAUUCAUUGGGCGUAAAGGGCAAGUAGGCGGUGGCGAAAGUUGGGCGUGACAUCUCUCGGCUUAACUGAGAGGGGUCGUUCAAAACUACGUCACUUGAGGGCAGGAGAGGGAAGUGGAAUUCCUCGUGUAGCGGUGGAAUGCUCAGAUAUGAGGAGGAACACCAGUGGCGAAAGCGACUUCCUGGCCUGAACCUGACGCUGAGAGGCGAAAGCUAGGGGAGCGAACGGGCUUAGAUACCCCAGUAGUC
rnacentral:rRNA from 1 species